UUGACUAUUGUGUUCAGUUCCGGGCCCCUCAGUUCAGGAAGGAUAUUGAGGUGCUGGAGUGAGUCCAGAGAAGAGCAACCAGGCUGGUGAAGGGACCUGAGCACAAGUCCUAUGAGGAGAGGCUGAGGGAGCUGGGGUUGUUUAGUCUGGAGAAGAGGAGGCUCAGGGGUGACCUCAUCACUCUCUACAACUACCUGAGAGGAGGUUGUAGCCAGGUGGGGAUCGGUCUCUUCUCCCAGGCAAUCAGCAGUAGGACAAGAAGGCACAGGUUUAAGAUCUGCCAGGGGACGUUUAGGUUGGAUAUUGGGAAGAAGCUCUUUACAGAGAGAGUGAUCAGGCAUUGGAAUGACCUGCCCAGAGAGGUGGUGGAUUCACCAUCCCUGGAGGUUUUUAAGACGAGGCUGGAUGUGGCACUGAGUGCCAUGAUCUAGUAAUCACAGUGGGGUUGGAUCAAGGGUUGGACUUGAUGAUCUCGGAGGUCUCUUCCAACCCAGUUAAUUCUAAGAUUCUGUGAACGGGCCCGGAACGGUCGCGCCGCGGGUGCGUUGCCGGGGGGAAGGCAAGCGGUGGUUGCCGGGCGGUGCGCUGCCAUUUCCCGCCCCCCGCGGAAGAUGGCGGCGCCCAGCGCGCUCUUGGCCUGGUGCGUCCAACACCUGCGGGGCGACUUCGGGCUGGACGUGGGCGAGGAGGUGGUGAGGUACAUCCUGUCCAUAACCAACGAGGAUGAGAUCCGGGAGUACGUCAUCGACCUCCUCCAGGGCACCGAUGGGAAAAAGAGCUGGUUUGUGGAAGAGUUACUUUCCAGGUGGAGGAAGUCCUCCCAGCUGCCCUCUGAGCCUUUCCCAGCAUAUUGGAAGAAGGAUGAGGCUUCGGAAGUGCCACGGGCUGGAGAGCAAGGGAAGAAGGGGAAACGCAAAGGCAGGAACAAACAGGAGACGCCCGUGUACACCGAGCCCAGCACACACGUGGAGGAAGUGAAAACCCCCCUGGACCUGGCCAAGGCCCAGGAGAGCAGCAGUGGUGUCGGCAGCAGUAGCAUUUCCUGUAAGAAGAAGCCCAAAUAUGUCAGCCUGUACACCAAGGAGGGGCAGGACAGGCUGGCCGUGCUCAUCCCAGGCCGUCAUGCCUGUGAGUGCCUGGGCCAGAAGCACAAGCUCAUCAACAACUGCCUGACGUGCGGGCGCAUCGUCUGCGCCCAGGAGGGCUCUGGGCCCUGCCUGUUCUGCGGGGCCCUGGUGUGCACUAAAGAAGAGCAGGACAUUCUUCAGCGGGAUUCCAACAAGAGCCAGAAGCUGCUGAAGAAGCUCAUGGCAGGUGCUGAAAGUUCAGGGAAUCUGGAUGCCAUAAGCAAGGACUUGCUGCCUCGCCAGGAAGCGAGACUCAAAACAGGCCUGGAGAUGGCUGUGAAGCACAAAGACAAGCUGUUGGAAUUUGACAGGACAAGCGUGCGGCGAACCCAGGUCAUUGAUGACGAGUCAGAUUAUUUUGCCACAGACUCCAACCAGUGGCUGUCCAAGCAGGAGAGGGAAGCUCUCCAGAAGAGAGAGCAGGAGCUGCGGGAGCUGCGCCAUGCCUCUCGGCUUGCCAAAAAAAUCACCAUUGACUUCGCAGGCCGGCAGAUCCUGGAGGAGGACAACAGCAUGGCUGAGUACCACAGCAAGCUGGAUGAGACCAUUGAAGCCAUUAAUCGUGGUGCUCUGAGCGAGCCAGGCAGGAACUCGGAGGCAAAGGCAAUGCUGAAUUCUGGUGUCCUGGUGAAUCCCCGUCUCCUCCAACCUGCUCCUUUGUGGGUGGACCAAGCUGGUUUGCUCCCGCAAAGGAAAAAUAUUCAUUCCAUGGAUGCUGAAAGUGAGUCUGUCUUGGAGCGGAACAGGCUGCGGAUUCAGGAUCGAGAGCUGCAGGAGAUCUCAGAUGAUGGUUGGUGCCUCAGCAUGCACCAGCCUUGGGCUUCCUUGCUCGUGAGAGGAAUCAAAAGGGUGGAGGGCAGGACCUGGUACACAUCUCAUCGAGGGAGGUUGUGGAUUGCAGCUACUGCUAAAAGACCUUCCCCUCAGGAAAUCGCUGAACUGGAGGCCACCUACAGAAUGCUGCUCCAGAAAGAUGUGGAAUUUCCAAGCAAUUAUCCCUCAGGAUGCCUCCUGGGCUGUGUGGACCUGAUGGAUUGUUUAUCACAAGAGCAAUUUCAGGAGCAGUAUCCAGACCUGAGCCAGGAGUCUGGGUCUCCAUUUGUCUUUAUCUGCACUGAUCCCCAGGAGAUGGUUGUGAAGUUUCCCAUCAAAGGAAAACACAAAAUCUGGAAGCUGGAUGCAAAGAUCCAUCAGGGAGCGAAGAAGGGGUUAAUGAAGCAGAAAGCUGUGGGGUGAGCGCCAGGGGAGCAGCACCGGUUCCCACGAAGCACCCAGCCGCCUCCAAAAAGUGCCAGCAUGGUCCUUGGCUCCAGAAAGCAGGUGCAAGACGGAUCCCUGAUCCCAGAUUGCUUUUAGCAGCAAUGCCGUCACCUGGGCAGACCCCAACCACUGGAAGCCCCCAAGGACGUAGGUGACCCCCAGGGCGUGGAGACAGGGAAUAGCCUUGAAUCGUGAGGGG